rnacentral:tRNA from 1 species
GCGUCCGUAACUCAGUUGGUUAGAGCACCACCUUGACAUGGUGGGGGUCGGUGGUUCGAGUCCACUCGGACGCACCA